UUCAACAACGGAUCUCUUGGUUCUGGCAUCGAUGAAGAACGCAGCGAAAUGCGAUAAGUAAUGUGAAUUGCAGAAUUCAGUGAAUCAUCGAAUCUUUGAACGCACAUUGCGCCCGUCAGUAUUCUGGCGGGCAUGCCUGUUCGAGCGUCAUUAC
rnacentral:rRNA from 1 species